UACAGAGGUGGCAAGCGUUGUUCGGAAUUACUGGGCGUAAAGGGCGCGUAGGCGGUUCGUUAAGUCCUGUGUGAAAUCCCCCGGCUCAACUGGGGAACUGCACAGGAAACUAGCGGGCUUGAGUUCGGGAGAGGGAUGCGGAAUUCCAGGUGUAGCGGUGAAAUGCGUAGAUAUCUGGAGGAACACCGGUGGCGAAGGCGGCAUCCUGGACCGAUACUGACGCUGAGGAGCGAAAGCCAGGGGAGCAAACGGG
rnacentral:rRNA from 1 species